GUGAAGAGGUCAGCUCUGCUAGUAGUCGGUCGUGAGGCCGGCGAACGCGGGGCUGGGCUUGGAGCGACCUUUGAGAACGGACCUCAGAUCAG
rnacentral:rRNA from 1 species